rnacentral:lncRNA from 1 species
GUUUGUUAGUGUGAUUCAUAAGUGUUUUCUUUUCUCGUUUUUUUUUAUAUAGAUUAAACCGAUAGUUUUCCCGUUUGAAUAGUUUUACACUAAUUAUUCUUUGGACCCUUUAUAGUUUGCUGUUCGGUGCGAGACAAUGUUCCGUGUUGAAGACCGUACUUUGACUUAUAAUGGUUUAUUUUUACAAAUUGUGACUUGGAUAGAGAAUUGAC